rnacentral:misc_RNA from 1 species
AAGGAGCACUUGAUGUCUUCGACAAAAUUAUUCGGCAGGAGGGUAUUUCUAAGCUAUGGAGAGGUACAAAUGCUGGUCUAGCUCUGGCUGUACCAACAGUCGGAAUUUACUUGCCUUGCUAUGACAUUUUUCGCAACAAGUUAGAGGAGUUCACAGCUCAACAUGCCCCAAGCUUGACACCAUAUGCCCCUUUAUUAGCUGGUUCUCUGGCACGGUCUUUAGCUUGCACAAGUUGCUAUCCUAUUGAACUUGCCAGAACACGAAUGCAGGCAUUUAAGGAUAUGAACAAGAAGCCUGCUGGAGUCUGGAAGACUUUGUUUGAGGUUAUUGCCAAUGUCAGGAGCACAACUAGUACCAAUUUUGGCUUACAAAGUUAUCGUGUACUUUGGUCUGGACUUGGGGCACAGCUUGCUCGCGACGUUCCUUUUUCUGCAAUUUGUUGGUCAACUCUUGAACCAGUAAGAAGGCGGCUCCUUUGUCCGCUGGGAGAUGAAGCUAAUGCCGUAGGUGUCCUAGGUGCAAACUUUUCUGCUGGUUUUGUU